GGGUUCUCGAUCAGCAAUGAUUUGAGCUUCAAGUUUGAUAGAUCGACACUCACCGUAGCCUUCUUCUUUUUUUGAUUGAAUGGCGCCUGAACACCUUCAAGCGCACACUAGAUCAGCCCAACUCCUUUGAGCAUGGGAUAAGAUAGCCUAUCCUAGGCGUACAGUGGAGGAAUAGGGAGAAGAGGUGGAGAAGAUCAGCCUAACACCUUAGGCGU
rnacentral:lncRNA from 1 species